AAUGAAAGAAUUUGGUUGAUCCAAAAAAGUAGUAAUAAGCUCGUCUCAAAGAUUAAGCCAUGCAGGUGUAAGUAUAAAUAAUAAAACUUUGAAGAAAGGCUCAUAAUUUCAGAUAUAGUUUAUUAGAAAUAAUUUAAUACUUGGAAAACAGAAAAAAUUCUAGGGAUAAUACAUGAGAAAUCCUCGAAUUUGAAGAGGUGUGUUUAUUAGUAUGAAAACCAUAUGCUUUUGCAUAAUAGUGAGUAAUAAAAACCUUUCAUAUGUAUGUUGUAAACGAUAGUUCUUUCAAGUUUCUACCCUAUCAGCUUUCGAUGGUAGUGCAUUGGACUACCAUGGCAGUAACGGGUAACGAAGAAUUAGGGUUCGAUUUCGGAGAGGGAGCCUGAGAGAUGGCGACCACAUCCAAGGAAGGCAGCAGGCGCGUAAAUUACCCAAUCCUGACAUAGGGAGGUAGUGACAAUAAAUCACAAUGCGGGACUUUUAGUUUUGCAAUUGGAUUGAGAACAAUGAAAAGAGUUAUCGAUAAACAAUUGGAGGGCAAGUGGUGCCAGCAGCCGCGGACUAAAA
rnacentral:rRNA from 1 species